GACAAAAGGUGCAAGCUAUCCUGCUUGGUCAUGGUGGAUGAGCACCUGCGGAGGUCCUCACCAUUGAAAUUGAAUGGCAGAUAACCAUCAGCAACACCGAGCGUUAUAUGUACCAGACACUCGCGCGGGUUGCGGGUGGACUCAUGCCCAUCAACCCCCCUUCAAUACUUCG
rnacentral:misc_RNA from 1 species